rnacentral:rRNA from 1 species
GACGAACGCUGGCGGCGUGCUUAACACAUGCAAGUCGAGCGGUAAGGCCCUUCGGGGUACACGAGCGGCGAACGGGUGAGUAACACGUGGGUGACCUGCCUCUAGCUCUGGGAUAAGCCUGGGAAACUGGGUCUAAUACCGGAUAUGACUCCACGGCGCAUGUUGUGGGGUGGAAAGCCUUGUGUGGCUAGAGAUGGGCCCGCGGCCUAUCAGCUUGUUGGUGGGUGAUGGCCUACCAAGGCGA